rnacentral:rRNA from 1 species
ACUGGUGCGCGAGAUGAGUAUUCUAAGGCGCUUGAGAGAACUCGGGAGAAGGAACUCGGCAAAUUGACACCGUAACUUCGGAAGAGGGUGUGCCCUAGUAGUGUGAAGUGAACAACGGAGCAUGAAUGGGUUGCAAAAAAUCGGUGGCUGCGACUGUUUAUUAAAAACACAGCACUCUGCAAACACGAAAGUGGACGUAUAGGGUGUGACGCCUGCCCGGUGCUGGAAGAUUAAAUGAUGGGGUGCAAGCUCUUGAUUGAAGUCCCAGUAAACGGCGGCCGUAACAAUAACGGUCCUAAGGUAGCGAAAUUCCUUGUCGGGUAAGUUCCGACCUGCACGAAUGGCGUAACGAUGGCCACACUGUCUCCUCCCGAGACUCAGCGAAGUUGAAAUGUUUGUGAUGAUGCAAUCUCCCCGCGGAAAGACGGAAAGACCCCAUGAACCUUUACUGUAGCUUUGUAUUGGACUUUGAACAGAUCUGUGUAGGAUAGGUGGGAGGCUUAGAAGCAGGGUCGCUAGAUCUUGUGGAGCCAACGUUGAAAUACCACCCUGGUGUGUUUGAGGUUCUAACCUAGGUCCAUUAUCUGGAUCGGGGACAGUGCAUGGUAGGCAGUUUGACUGGGGCGGUCUCCUCCCAAAGCGUAACGGAGGAGUUCGAAGGUACGCUAGUUACGGUCGGACAUCGUGACGAUAGUGCAAUGGCAUAAGCGUGCUUAACUGCGAGACUGACAAGUCGAGCAGAUGCGAAAGCAGGACAUAGUGAUCCGGUGGUUCUGUAUGGAAGGGCCAUCGCUCAACGGAUAAAAGGUACUCUGGGGAUAACAGGCUGAUACCGCCCAAGAGUUCAUAUCGACGGCGGUGUUUGGCACCUCGAUGUCGGCUCAUCUCAUCCUGGGGCUGUAGCCGGUCCCAAGGGUAUGGCUGUUCGCCAUUUAAAGAGGUACGUGAGCUGGGUUUAAAACGUCGUGAGACAGUUUGGUCCCUAUCUUCCGUGGGCGCUGCAGAUUUGAGGAAGUCUGCUCCUAGUACGAGAGGACCGGAGUGGACGCACCUCUGGUGUAUCGGUUGUCACGCCAGUGGCAUUGCCGAGUAGCUAUGUGCGGAAGAGAUAACCGCUGAAAGCAUCUAAGCGGGAAACUCGUUCCAAGAUGAGAUCUGCCGGGGCCUUGAGCCCCCUAAAGAGUCGUUCAAGACCAGGACGUUGAUAGGUCAGGUGUGGAAGCGCAGUAAUGCGUUAAGCUAACUGAUACUAAUUGCUCGUGCGGCUUGACCCC